rnacentral:lncRNA from 1 species
UUUGGCUACAAAUUUUCAAAGUGUAUGGCCUUGUUUGUUUUCUGCUGGGAUUAUUUUUCUAGUUUUUCCUUUCUAUUCUGUUAGGGACUGGGGGCAGGACACUGUGAUUCCGCUUAAUCCUGCUGUCUUUGACAUUUUUUUAAUGUCCAUGAGCAGGGACAAAUCUUAGUCUCAUAAGAAUGUGCCUGAUUUGGGAAGCAGGCCUCACUCAGCACCGACCGCCCCUCCUGGCACAGCACUGGCAUCCCCUGGUGUUCCAUAAACACAGAGACUGAGAGAUGAGCAGACGAGUAUGGGCCCUGGAUGCUCCCUGCAGCCCCUCUGCAGAGCUGGACCUGCAGUCCAAGACUCCUUGGGGAUGAGGGGUCUAGGGUUUAGUCCCUGUCCCUGGACAGUGAUGGAGCUAAAGGCAUGGGGCAGCGUCUGUCCCUUUUAUGGGGGGAAGCUGAGGCUGCUGGGGGCAGUGCCUGUCCCGAGAUGUCCCCAGACUCAGGUGCUCUGCUCCUUCCUUCCCAUAAAUCCUGGGCCUCCCCUGUGUCCUAAGGGCCUGCGGCCACCUGGCUAGUCCUGUUGCUGGUCCUCCUCCAGGGGACAGAAAGUAACCGACAUCUCC